GAAUUACUGGGCGUAAAGGGUGCGUAGGCGGCUUUUUAGGUUUGGUGUGAAAUCUCCCGGCUCAACUGGGAGGGUGCGCCGAAUACUGAGAAGCUAGAGUGUGGGAGAGGAAAGUGGAAUUCCUGGUGUAGCGGUGAAAUGCGUAGAUAUCAGGAGGAACACCGGUGGUGUAAACGGCUUUCUGGACCAUAACUGACGCUGAGGCACGAAAGCGUGGGUAGCAAACAGGAUUAGAUACCCUGGUAGUCCACGCCCUAAACGAUGCAUAUUUGGUGUGGGCCAUUCAUUUGGUCCGUGCCGGAGCUAACGCGUUAAAUAUGCCGCCUGGGGAGUACAGUCGCAAGGCUGAAACUCAAAGGAAUUGACGGGGGCCCGCACAAGCGGUGGAGCAUGUGGUUUAAUUCGACGCAACGCGAAGAACCUUACCUGGGCUCGAAAUGCUGCUGACCAGCUUACGAAAGUAGGCCUUCCCGCAAGGGACAGUAGUAUAGGUGCUGCAUGGCU
rnacentral:rRNA from 1 species